GCAUUAAUGAGGUAGUGGUAACCUGGGUCGUUGCCAUUCAAUAGGUCUAUCGGUUGUAUCGACCCGCCGGGGGUUCGAUUCCCUCUUAAUGCA